rnacentral:rRNA from 1 species
UACAGAGGGGGCAAGCGUUAUUCGGAAUUAUUGGGCGUAAAGGGCGCGCAGGCGGCUGGUCAAGUCCGAUGUGAAAUCUCCCGGCUUAACUGGGAAACUGCAUCGGAAACUGAUCGGCUUGAAGGUGGGAGAGGGUAGUGGAAUUCCCGGUGUAGUGGUGAAAUGCGUAGAUAUCGGGAGGAACACCAGUGGCGAAGGCGACUACCUGGCCCAUUCUUGACGCUGAGGCGCGAAAGCUAGGGGAGCGAACGGG